GAGCGCACUGGCCCAACUGAUAUGACGUGCUUGCACUGAAUUGACGUUGGAUUACCAGAUGAGCGGCGGACGGGUGAGUAACACGUGGGCAACCUGCCCUGGAGCGGGGGAUAACAUCUGGAAACAGGUGCUAAUACCGCAUAACAACGAAAACCACAUGGUUUUCGUUUCAAAGAUGGUUUCGGCUAUCACUUCAAGAUGGGCCCGCGGUGCAUUAGCUAGUUGGUAAGGUAACGGCUUACCAAGGCAAUGAUGCAUAGCCGAGUUGAGAGACUGAUCGGCCACAAUGGAACUGAGACACGGUCCAUACUCCUACGGGAGGCAGCAGUAGGGAAUCUUCCACAAUGGGCGCAAGCCUGAUGGAGCAACACCGCGUGAGUGAAGAAGGGUUUCGGCUCGUAAAGCUCUGUUGUUGGAGAAGAACGUGCGUGAGAGUAACUGUUCACGCAGUGACGGUAUCCAACCAGAAAGUCACGGCUAACUACGUGCCAGCAGCCGCGGUAAUACGUAGGUGGCAAGCGUUAUCCGGAUUUAUUGGGCGUAAAGCGAGCGCAGGCGGUUGCUUAGGUCUGAUGUGAAAGCCUUCGGCUUAACCGAAGAAGGGCAUCGGAAACCGGGCGACUUGAGUGCAGAAGAGGACAGUGGAACUCCAUGUGUAGCGGUGGAAUGCGUAGAUAUAUGGAAGAACACCAGUGGCGAAGGCGGCUGUCUGGUCUGCAACUGACGCUGAGGCUCGAAAGCAUGGGUAGCGAACAGGAUUAGAUACCCUGGUAGUCCAUGCCGUAAACGAUGAGUGCUA
rnacentral:rRNA from 2 species